AUGGCGUCCAUCCAGGACAAGCAUAGUUCUCAGGAGUUGCUCCAGGCCCAAGUUGAUCUUUGGCACCACGCGUUGGGAUUUGUCAAGUCCAUGGCACUCAAAUGUGCAAUGGAACUGCAAAUCCCCAACACCAUUCAACACCAUGGUGGGUCUAUGACCCCUUCGGAGUUGGCCAUGAAGAUCGGACUCCAUCCGUCUAAGCUUCCCCGCUUACGACGACUCAUGCGUGUGCUCACCGUAUCAGGCAUCUUUGUUGUCCAUGAACCAGCCUCGCCAGACAAGGAGGUUGUUUACGGGCUUACCCCUACCACACGUCUCCUCGUUAGCGACAAAGUUAACUUAUUUCCCAUUCUGUCUUUGAUGCUUGAUUCAACUGUCAUUUCCCCUUUCCUUGGCAUGCACUCAUGGUUUCUAGAUGAGUGCUCCACGUCCCUGUUCAAAAAGGCUCAUGGCCUAAAUGUUUGGGAGAUGGCUGACCAGGACAAUACUUACAACCAGCUAAUCAACAACGCAAUGGUUUCUGAUAGCAACUUUCUCAUGGACAUCAUCUUGAGGGAGUGUGGUGAUGUAUUUCUUGGCAUAAACUCGCUUAUUGAUGUCGCUGGAGGUCAUGGUGGAGCUGCCAGGGCAAUUACGAAGGCAUUCCCGCAAAUGAAAUGCAGUGUGUUGGAUCUCCCUCAUGUGGUUGCAGAAGCUCCUACUGAUGAGCAUGUGCUGUUUAUUUCUGGUGAUAUGUUUAAGCACACUCCACCAGCGGAUGCCCUUUUCCUAAAGUCUGUUUUUCAUGAUUGGGGCGAUGAAGACUGUGUUAAGAUAUUGAAAAAAUGCAAGGAAGCUAUCCCUCCCAGAGAUGCUGGUGGAAAGGUGAUAAUUGUUGAUAUGGUGGUUAGAUCUGGGCCAAAUGAGAUUGUAACAAGAGAGACACAGGUUUUGUUUGAUCUCUUUAUCAUGUGUUUUGAAGGGAUCGAGCGAGAGGAAUUCAAGUGGAAAAAUAUAUUCAUGGAAGCUGGGUUCAGCAACUACAAAAUUAUAGCAGUCAUGGGUGUUAGAUCUGUUAUUGAGCUCUACCCUUGA
rnacentral:rRNA from 1 species